AUGCACGCUGGCGGCGUGCCUAAUACAUGCACGUCGAGCGAACAGACGAGGAGCUUGCUCCUCUGACGUUAGCGGCGGACGGGUGAGUAACACGUGGAUAACCAACCUAUAAGACUGGGAUAACUUCGGGAAACCGGAGCUAAUACCGGAUAAUAUAUUGAACCGCAUGGUUCAAUAGUGAAAGACGGUUUUGCUGUCACUUAUAGAUGGAUCCGCGCCGCAUUAGCUAGUUGGUAAGGUAACGGCUUACCAAGGCGACGAUGCGUAGCCGACCUGAGAGGGUGAUCGGCCACACUGGAACUGAGACACGGUCCAGACUCCUACGGGAGGCAGCAGUAGGGAAUCUUCCGCAAUGGGCGAAAGCCUGACGGAGCAACGCCGCGUGAGUGAUGAAGGUCUUCGGAUCGUAAAACUCUGUUAUUAGGGAAGAACAAAUGUGUAAGUAACUAUGCACGUCUUGACGGUACCUAAUCAGAAAGCCACGGCUAACUACGUG
rnacentral:rRNA from 1 species